GGGGCUGAUCGGUUUCGACUUGGGACGUACGUCCCAGGGGAAGCGGGUCGAGGAUCCAGGCUCAUCUCGUGAACGCUGCCUGGAAAACUACAACUGCCAACGCUAAGCGCAGUUCGCUCACCCUCGCUGCCUGACAGCGAGCGUGACGGGUCAGGCUGAGGUCGCCUCCGACUCAGAUCCUGGCCUCAUCUAGGAGGCUUGCUGCGUCGCUCUCGUCGGAAGGGUGCCGUGGGACUCAAAUCCGAAUGAGUCCGUCGGCGACGUGUCUGUGCGAGCGCCGGGACUGAGAAGACGUUUCCACAGACUGCACCCGGAGAAGACCUGGCACUGCGCUCGAGGACGCGGGUUCGAUUCCCGCCAGCUCCACCG
rnacentral:tmRNA from 1 species